CCCUUAGAUGUUCGGGGCCGCACGCGCGCUACACUGAAGGAAUCAGCACGUCUUUCUCCUUGUCCGAAAGGACUGGGUAACCCGCUGAACCUCCUUCGUGCUAGGGAUUGGGGCUUGUAAUUCUUCCCCAUGAACGAGGAAUUCCCAGUAAGCGCGAGUCAUAAGCUCGCGUUGAUUACGUCCCUGCCCUUUGUACACACCGCCCGUCGCUACUACCGAUUGGAUGGUUUAGUGAGAUCCUCGGAUUGGUCCCGGCGCGACCUCUGGUCGUGCCGGAGUGCCGAAAAGAAUGUCGAACUUGAUCAUCUAGAGGAAGUAAAAGUCGUAACA
rnacentral:rRNA from 1 species